UUGUUGGUAAGGUAAAAGCUUACCAAGGCUUCGAUCAGUAGCCGGUCUGAGAGGACGACCAGCCACACUGGGACUGAGACACGGCCCAGACUCCUACGGGAGGCAGCAGUGGGGAAUUUUGGACAAUGGGGGCAACCCUGAUCCAGCCAUGCCGCGUGAGUGAAGAAGGCCUUCGGGUUGUAAAGCUCUUUCAGCCGGAACGAAACGGUUACGGUUAACACCCGUGACUACUGACGGUACCGGAAGAAGAAGCACCGGCUAACUACGUGCCAGCAGCCGCGGUAAUACGUAGGGUGCGAGCGUUAAUCGGAAUUACUGGGCGUAAAGCGUGCGCAGGUGGUUUUGUAAGUCAGAUGUGAAAMCCCCGGGCUCAACCUGGGAACUGCGUUUGAAACUACAAGACUAGAGUGUGGCAGAGGGGGGUGGAAUUCCGCGUGUAGCAGUGAAAUGCGUAGAGAUGUGGAGGAACACCGAUGGCGAAGGCAGCCCCCUGGGUCAACACUGACGCUCAGGCACGAAAGCAUGGGGAGCAAACAGGAUUAGAUACCCUGGUAGUCCAUGCCCUAAACGAUGUCAACUAGUUGUCGGGCCUUUACGGGCUUGGUAACGUAGCUAACGCGUGAAGUUGACCGCCUGGGGAGUACGAUCGCAAGAUUAAAACUCAAAUGAAUUGACGGGGACCCGCACAAGCGGUGGAUUAUGUGGAUUAAUUCGAUGCAACGCGAAAAACCUUACCUACCCUUGACAUGUAUCGAAGCCCGCAGAAAAGCGGGGGUGCCCGAAAGGGAACGAUAACACAGGUGCUGCAUGGCUGUCGUCAGCUCGUGUCGUGAGAUGUUGGGUUAAGUCCCGCAACGAGCGCAACCCUUGUCAUUAAUUGCCAUCAUUUAGUUGGGCACUUUAAUGAGACUGCCGG
rnacentral:rRNA from 1 species